rnacentral:lncRNA from 1 species
AUGAAGCUGGAUACACUGGUAUCACUGGGUCCUGCAGAGUUUUAUUCAAUAGGAAUAUGGGAGGAGAUACCAGAGACCUCAUUCUCUCUGCCAUGUGAGAACACAAUGAGAAGGCAGCCAUCUGUAAGACGGGAAGAGAGCUUUCACCAGGAGGUGAACUGGCCAGAACAUUGAUUUUGCACUUCCCAGCCUCCAGAACUGAAUGACUGUGGCCAACUAUAGCCUGAAACCAUAACUGACACAUUAAGGAUGAAGAGUGGAAAGAUACAAAGAAUACAAGCCCUUGAUGAAAUCACUGAAGGCACCAUCCCUGGAGCUUUCCUUACCUUUUUAGGUGAACAACACAUUUUCCUUGUUGCUUAAGCUACUUUAUAGUAGGUUCUCUGUCAUUUGUAGCAGCAGAAAUGAUUUCUCCUGACACACAGGCUCUGCCCACAUUGUGGAAAAGACGGCCACCACCAGUAGCACAAGCUUGUUUCUUUUAGUUUGUUUUCUUUUUAUGUUAGAUUAGCAACCCCGGUGGAAAAGGACACUUUUUCUCUUAAGUGUCAGCAACAGUCCCAGGAAGGCACCCAUUGGCCCAGCUUAGAUCACAUGUCCAUCUCUGAACCAGCACCAUAGCUGGAAGAAUGGAGUACGCUGUUGGGUCAGACCUGGUCCACAUGGCCACCUCUGGGGCUAGGCGUGGGAUUAGCUCUACCAGGACUAUAUGGAUCAUCAGUGGAGGAUGGCUUAUUUCCUGAGGGAAAAUUGGCAUGCUGACAUCAGAAAGGACAGGGGGAAUGUAUGCCUGGCAGGCUAAACAGGUGACCUCUCAAACAUCCUUCACAGGCUGGCCUCAACUUGUCGCUUCAUAGGGAUUUCUUAUUGUCCUCCGUAACUAUUGCUCCAGAACAAACUCUUCUACCCACAGGCAGCUCAAUUCAACAGAUUUGGAAAAAAACUCCUGCCAUGUAGUGGAUAGAUCCGAAUAUUCAAAGGGGAAGACAACACACCUCUUGAUUUUGGUGAGCUCUCUGUCUUUU